GAUGAACGCUAGCGGCAGGCCUAAUACAUGCAAGUCGAGGGGCAGCGCGGUAGCAAUACUGGCGGCGACCGGCGCACGGGUGCGUAACACGUAUGCAACCUACCUUCAACUGGAGGAUAGCCCGGGGAAACUCGGAUUAAUACUCCAUAACACAGGGAUCCCGCAUGGGAAUAUUGUUAAAGCUACGGCGGUUGAAGAUGGGCAUGCGUUCGAUUAGCUAGUUGGUGUAGGUAACGGCUCACCAAGGCUACGAUCGAUAGGGGGUCUGAGAGGAUGAUCCCCCACACUGGUACUGAGAUACGGACCAGACUCCUACGGGAGCAGCAGUAGGGAAUAUUGGUCAAUGGGCGCAAAGCCUGAACCAGCCAUGCCGCGUGCAGGAAGAAGGCCCUCUGGGUUGUAAACUGCUUUGAUAGGGAACAAAUGCCACUUGCGAGUGGAGCUGAGUGUACCUAUAGAAUAAGCACCGGCUAACUCCGUGCCAGCA
rnacentral:rRNA from 1 species